rnacentral:rRNA from 1 species
ACCUACGCUUGACAUGCCAGGAACUUUCCAGAGAUGGAUAGGUGCCCGAAAGGGAACCUGGACACAGGUGCUGCAUGGCUGUCGUCAGCUCGUGUCGUGAGAUGUUGGGUUAAGUCCCGCAACGAGCGCAACCCUUAUCCUUAGUUGCUACGCAAGGGCACUCUAGGGAGACUGCCGGUGACAAACCGGAGGAAGGUGGGGAUGACGUCAAGUCCUCAUGGCCCUUAUGUGUAGGGCUUCACACGUCAUACAAUGGUCGGUACAGAGGGUUGCCAACCCGCGAGGGGGAGCCAAUCCCAGAAAACCGAUCGUAGUCCGGAUCGCACUCUGCAACUCGAGUGCGUGAAGUCGGAAUCGCUAGUAAUCGCGGAUCAGCANGNCGCGGUGAAUACGUUNCCGGGUNUUGNACNCNCCGCCCGUCNCACCAUGGGAGUGGGUUUUNCCANAAGUGGGUAGCCUAACCGCAAGGAGGGCGCUUACCACGGCNGGGCUCAUGACUGGGGUGAAGUCGUAACAAGGUAACC